CAUAAAAAAGGAAAACAAAAAACACCCCGACACGAACUGCUCGAUCCACCAGACCACCUUCCACCCCGAUCCCCUGAUCCCAUCACCAUCCAGACAACCCCGCCGCCACGCGACCCGCCGGGACCCCCUGCCACCACACGGCCUCCCGGAAUCCCCGUCGCCGCGCCACCUCCCUGGCCCCCGUCGCCGCGCCACCUCCGGGGGCCCCGCCGCUGCUCCCCGACCCGACCUAGAUACUGCAGCCGCACCCCCACCUCCGUCAGGAUCUCGCCUCUGCCACGACCACGCCAGCGAGCACCGCCCCUAUUUCCAUCCAUUUUCGCCAGGACCUCGCCUCACCCCGAUGCUCCCAGCGCGCUGGCGCUAGUUCCUCUCCUCCCCCAAUGACUGGAUACUUUGACCCAACCAUUGGUCCUCCAUGGAUCCGGCCAACUACAUGCCACUGGCCGCGGAUCCGGCCCCGGGGACCAACCCAGACACCGGCUGCCUCCACCACGCGCCCGACCCCGCCCCCACCCCCAUUCCACCAGGCAGAUGUUGUUGCCGUGCUCCGGGUCGACCAUGUCUUAUUAUCUGACCGUCUGCUAGUUCCUCUAGUUGUUCUUCUUUUGUUGCAGAGAUCUUCGUCGCUCCUUGUAGAUGGCAACUCCAGCGAUGUGAUCUUUUUCUUCGACCGCCUCGGCCGCUCACCAACACGGCCACCUGCAGUUCAGGGCUUAAAUCAUGUAUUCUGUACACAUGAGUGAAGUUCGAUUUGCCGGAGAAAGAGGUGUUGCCACGGCCGAUGCUGGCUGUUCGUGCGUGGAAGUCUCCGUGUAUUCUAUUUGAAAACCUGGGAGCAUGCCCAAAACGUUCAGAAAUAUCAAUGACAGAAGUUUGAAUAUAGGGAGGUUGAUGCUUUGUGUGUGUAUACAUUUUUUAGGGGAUCGUGUGCUUGUAUACAUGGCAGCACAAUUUUUUGUGCAUGAUAUUCAGUUCUACAAAUAGCAGUUGAAUAAGGCAACAAUUUCUUUUGGCA